rnacentral:lncRNA from 1 species
UGACGUCCGCCCCGGCCCCAUGGCGACCGCCAUGAACCUAAAAACCAGAAAAAUAUGUUUUUCACUGUUGGAGCCCUUCCGAGCUCUGAUUUCGAUUCCGUAAGAAACCCUGAUCUCAGAAUUCAAAAUCCAACACUUAUCCAGUUAUUAAAAUAUCACAUUUACGAUUUAUCACAUAUUGGAAUCAAUUAAAUCAUAUAUUUCAUAACUU